GCCGGGUGCAGUGGCGCGCGCCUGUAAUCUAAGCUGCUGGGAGGCUGAGGCUGGCGGAUCGCUUGAGUUCAGGGGUUCUGGGCUGCAGUGGACUAUGUCGAUCGGGUGUCUGCGCUAAGUUCGGUAUCGAUAUGGUGCUCCUGGGGGAGCUCGGGACCACCAGGUCGUCUAAGGAGGGGUGAACCGGCCCAGGUCAGAGACGGAGCAGGUCAAAGCCCCCGUGCCGAUCAGUAGUGGGGUCGCACCUGUGAAUAGACACUGCAGUGCAGCCUGAGCGAUACAAAUUGAAUUUGAGCAGCCAUCAU
rnacentral:SRP_RNA from 1 species